rnacentral:lncRNA from 1 species
GACGGGUUCUCCGGACCGGGCGGGGUUCUCUGCCCUGGGCGUGGCGGCUCCGAGCUGGGCUCCGCAGAGUCCGAGUUCGGGAUCCGGAGUCCUUGCGCCUGGGCUUUGUCUCGGCCUCGUGUGGCACCGGGGCUUCAGCUACCAAUGCAUGCUGCGAUAAAGCAUGGGUCGCUGGGUGGUGCCGGUCGCCCUGCGGGUGGGAGCCGGUCCCAUGUAAAAAAUGCAGUAAUGGACGUCCAUGUAAAUAACAUUCCCAUGCUUUAAUGAAGCAUAAUUUCUUGACAUUGCAGUUUCUAAGUGCCCUGUGUUGAGGUCGGGAAAGCUAAAGGGCAGUCAGAGGUCAAGGUCAGCAAAGCACCACCUUUGACAUUUGAAAUUCAGCAGCAGGUAUCACAGUGAACCCCAUUCCAGCAUCCAGGAAGUUUCUCUGCCCUGCCUCUCCUCCAGCCACCUCGGAAUCUGUGUCUGCAGUGUUGGUCCUGCUUUCCUCUCUCUCCUCUGCCUUUUCCUUCUCUUCACCAACUUCUACCGAGUGCCUCUGGUGUCCCAGACAGUGGCAGUGGGAGGACAAAGACUAAUAAACCCCGCCCUGGUCCUCAAAGAAUUGAUGUUUUCUGUGCAGACAUUAAGUUACACUGUCAUAUAUAGUGUUGACAGACAUUGAUACAGAUUUCCUGUGAAGUGCAGAAGCACCAUCCUAGAAGCAGCGAUGCAGAGGCAGCACUGGUGACUCACACAUGGAGAGCUGGAGUUCUUGGUCUAGUGGGAUAAACUGACCUGGACAUCAUUUCAGUGCAGCGGAGUGCCUCGCUGAGUUGUGUACAACAGAGAGCUCAGGUGUUGGGGGCAGUUGACCGGUUGAAGAAUGCAUUGCUAUUAUGUGAGGAACAUUGGGCUUUGAAAAAGCAGAACUGGAUCCACGUUCUUGCCUGGUAACUCUAAUUAUCAUCUAGUUUGUAAAGGGGAAUGCAGUUCACUGAAAAAUUCGUAUGACAGUGGGACAAGGAUUGGGCCUCUGCAUUGGUUUGUGUAAUAUAGGUCACAUGAAAGAGCAUUUAGGCUGCAGGGAGACUUUUCAUCUCUAUAACUUUACUUUCACAGGACAAUUCCAUCAUGAUUUGAAGAUUUUGGAGUCAAAACUUCAUUGUUCUGAUCUUUUCCAGUGUGCCUACAAAUAUGUAUGUACACAUUGUAAAAAACAAA